rnacentral:misc_RNA from 1 species
CAAAUAAAUUUUUAAGGAGGUGACAGACUGGCACCAAUCAAAAUGAGGGAAAAAAGAAAAAUGUUGAUUACAAAGGAUAUUGCAGUGAAUCUGUAACACAAACAUUUCCUGUGCUCAGGACCAUCUGCUCUGAAGAACGUGGGAAGGAAAGAAAGUGGUGUUAAGAUUAGCGACACGCAGGAAUAUAAAAAGACGAUGCAUCUCUAACAAAGACUUUUUUCUUCGUUCAGGACGAACUGGUCAGGAUAGUUAACUUGCUCGAAAUUAUUGUUACCAGUGGGUAGAGGACUCCUAGCUUCGUGCCGGGUGUGCUACAUCUUGGCUGGAGACCAGCUCAGGAACAUGUGAUACAACUAGCCCCAGACCCGCAUCACGUGAGGUGGCGAUCGCAGCAGGUUUCAUGGUCAAGUCAGGCUGCUCUCGGCAUUGGCCAUCGGGCGCUGGUCUUUGAACGACUGAUACCUCCAGAGUCUGGCAACCCGAAAGGAUUGCACCGUGGCCUCCCUGACCCUUUCGGGGGGCCGUGUGCAGGGCUGUCUUCUGCUGGUCCUGAUCGUCGUGCUGUGGCCUUCCAGUGUCGAGCCCAAGAAGCUUUUCGUGGAUGGCAUCGACACCAGCCUGCUGCAGUUGAAGGAAGUGCUGCACCUAGUAAUGGAAGACGGCAAGUUGUACAACGACUCUCCCAACUUCACCUGGAUCAUCAAGAACAGCAGCUGCCACAAACCACCUAGAGACGAGGCUAUAGAGAAGUACUGUCCCUCGGUGGCGGAGCUGACGGUGGACUUCAACCGCCAGCCUGUCUUCAUCCUGCAGACACGCUGCAAUGAAUGUGGCCCCCAUUGCAAGGAUAGAAACCCCAGACGCAACUCGACGACGGGCCUGUGCCGGGCGCACAGCCAGUACCGCCGCGUGAAGAUCAAAGGGCGCGGCGUCAUGUUCCAGAAAUUCAAGCUCGGGUGCUACUGCGACUACACCAAGCACAACUACAACAACUAGGCGUGACGCAGAGGCUUUGUGUGGCGACAUUCGUUCUGUCCUGGGCGCCGCGUCACUCUACGUCACGUCAUGUCAUGACACACACCCUCUCACGUGAUCAGUCGAGUGGCGGACACAGUGCGAGUGCGCGUGCGCAAGGUGUUACAGGCGGCGGCUCCCUUACACUUUGAGGCGGCCCUAUGGCAGGCAAUUGUAGCUUUUUUUGUUUUCUCCCGUCUGACGCUUGUAAGUGAGCGCUUCCUACUCCACCCUUGUCUCCCUGCCCAACCACACCCCUUACCAGGAAGAACGCGUGCACCCUGAACACUCUGCCACACUGAGGUGGCCGAACACUCCCACACUUGGUAAGAAAUGAACCCCUUACCCUUCGCCUGCAGAGGACUCUCCUUCCGUGGAACUAGGGAGGAACACGAGCUGGGUGUGUACAGUGUCGAGGGCAGGACUGAAUGUCAGGAUAUAGGAUCAAAGGUCACUGCACGGAUGCUAGAUGCCUGACAGACACCAAAAGACUGGAUGUGGAGAACAAGAGGCUGAAACUCAGACACUCGAGGUUAAGAGGAGAGACGGAGAAGUACAGAUGUUACACAGGAGAGUAGAUGAGAGAAGAGUAGAUGAUUGUGAGUUUCGGAUGAUUAAAAGUUAGAUAGCGGCGAUGAAGAGUCCGUGAUAGACGCUGGUAAUAAUUACACGACGCUAAUCAGGAAGGUAGAUAUCGGUGCUAAUAAAGAGACUAGAUGUUGCAAACAGUGAUAAUCAGGAGACUAGACAUUUGACAGUGAUAAUCAAGAGAGUAGAUGUUAGUGGCAAGUAGGAGACAGUGAAAGUCUCACGGUAGAUAUUUUGGUUCUUUGCCGAUUACAGUUUGGCAAACGUUGAUACAAAUGACUGCAAAACUUCUUGCUCACUGUCUCCGGUUCUUCUUUUCAUGUUCGUAAGUUUUCUUGUAGGCUUCAAGCUUGCGACUUCGGCUGUACACGUGUACAGCGCCACCCUUUCUUCGGGAAUUCCCGUUACGCUACCCGGGUAGCAAGCAGUUUCUCUGACCAGUUAACGUUAACCCCUGAUCCCUAUUCCACUGUGCUCAGUUUAUCUGGCGAGUAACAUCGCCACAUCGUGCAUGACAGGGACGAAGCAAAUGUCGUCUGUGCGCACGAGUCACGUGAUACAGACUGUCCGCUUCCGCUGGUCGAAGAUCACGCAUGCGCAGCAGUCCUGGCAAUUCUGUCGCUGCUACUCCGAUCACCACAGAGGUUGAAAAGAGGAGAAACCACCUCAGAGCUGAAGCAUAUUUCUUCGAAACAGCUGAAACAGUACUCCACCCACAGUCGACCAGGGGCGAGAGGAAAAGAGUCGCCAUUAUGAAACGCCCGAAAAUGUUGAUAGACACCGUGGACGCUGAACAAAGGCCGAGCAUUUGUAUGAUGUACAUUACACUCGGUGCAAAAUUGUAAAGAUGGUCACGCUGGAGUGGCACAUCGUUGUGCUAAGUUUUUUUUUAAUUUUUUUUGUUGUUUUGUCAUGAACAUUACAUACAUGAUGUCUGCGAAAAACAGGGUGUCACGUGACUCGCAGAAGAAAUGGCCACGUGCCACGUGCAGUACAAGGCUGUAUUUCUUGCAGGCUGAGGUGUAGAUGCUGGUUUUGUGCUAGAGUGAUUGCAAGAGGGCGCUGGAGUGUAGGUCGAGGUUGCAUCCCGCGGGUCAGAUUCAAAAGUCUGAAAUGCGGUGCUGCAGGUCGUGCCCGCCGGGUGGCAUCCGUAACUGCUCCUAUGUGGGUUAUAGGGGUGCGACUGAAUUCGAGCGCGGGCUGUGUGCGCCCGCGCGUGAGUGCGUAUUCAUGAGUGACUGCAGUGUAUGUGUGCUUGCUUUGUGCAUCCGGAAGAGAGUGCAUGUGGGUGGAGUGUGUACGCGCGAGAGAGUGCAUGUGGGUGUGUUUGUGUGUGUGUGUGUGUGAGAGAGAGUGAAUGGGGUAUGUGGGAAAAGUAGCGUGUCUGCGUAUUAGCGCCUUUGUGCUUGUAAGCAAGUUUGAGUGGAUAUGUGGAUAUUUAUAUAUAUAUACGUGUGUGCACAUGUGAAGAUUUGCAAAUGGCAAUGUCAGUUCAAACAGAAAACUGUUAAUAUUCGUGUACAUAAAAAUAUCGUGACUUUU